rnacentral:antisense_RNA from 1 species
ACACGACACCCUCCCCUGGACUGUGAAACAAUCAUUGGCCCAAUAAAGGCUCUGAUAAGCUCUACAGUUAUAUUUUAAACCUUAAAGCAUGGGUUGAUGCUAUUUAACUCAGUAUUUUCCAAAGUUAUUUGAUCAGAGAACCAUCCUGUCCUCCUCCCUUUUUUUUUUUUUUUUUAAAUUUGAGGAGCAUCUCACUGGGGUACCGCACUGUCACUUAGGCUGGAGUGCAGUGGCAUGAUCACAGCUCACUGCAGCCUCGACCUUCUGGACUCAAGUGAUCCUCCUUCUUCAGCCUCUUGAGUAGCUGGGACCACAGGUCAGCAUUAAAUCCAGGACUACCUACUAAAAGGAACUGAACCUUUUCUACAUAUGGUUAUGCAUAGUACAGAUAGGUAUACGUGGAGGGGACUAAGAGCUUAAAUACAACAGGAAGUGGAGCCCACGACAUUUCUGUUCAGCAAUGGAGCAAGGAAGAAAUACAGUCAAGUGCCAGUGGUCUCUGCACGCUGCUCCAGGAAAGGGGGCUUGCCUGAGAUGCUCCACAAAUAAAAAUUGGGAAAAAUGCUGAAAUCUGGGGAAAAUUAAUGACAAAUUUUCUUAAAAAGGCCUGAGGGGCUCUCCCUGCCCGGGGGCAGUUCGGGGCCUUCCCCGAUUCUCUCCUACAAGAAUGCUGGCGAAAACCACAACUCGUUUCCUGUUUCCAAGGACAUAAAGGAAAUACCUUCAGUAAAAACUCUACUACCACUGAGCGCUUCAAGUCUUGCGGCAGAUGGGAAUUUACUCUGAGACAAGAGCAAGACAUGCUGGUUUCACCUGUACACAUUUACCAAAGUCAGCACAGGAGUAUGCUUAGGUCAUACCCAGCUUAUGACUCCAAGGCUAGAAUUGCCCACUGCAAGUGGUACAAAAUGGAUCAGGAGAGCCAAGCAGCUUGUCCUUGAAGCCACUCUCUGGGCUGUCAACUCUUGUUCUUAUUUGACCUUCAGGAACCUCUAAAAUGUGCAGUCCAUGAGAAUGGACUCUAAAUAUGAGGACAUUGAGGAUCAGAGAUGUUGAAAAACUUGCCCAAGGAUGCACAAGUGGAAUGGUAAAGACAGGAUUUGAAUUCUGACCUCUCUGACUCCGUGUCACAAACUCCUGAAAGAGUGAAAGGUGACUGUUGUCUCUUGGGCACAGGUAGCUGCCAACAGGUGAGCCUCUCAGGGGAUUGGUAGAGGUAGGAUGGCAAAUAGCUUCUUUAAUAUGACAGCCUCAGUGUAGUGGCUGGCAAGGAGCUGCGAUUGGGAGGAACUGGAAGUCACACCCAAGCUCAUUGAGCAAGCAUGCUGUGAGUGCCAUGAUAAAGUGAAGAGCUCAGGAGAAAGAUUGGAUCAAUUAUAGAAAAUAAUGAAGGUACAUUUUCUUUGCAUAACUAAAUGUAGGUACUAGAAUACCUGAGUUUUGGCUGGGCACAGAACUGUCUGGAAUACAGACUGCAAUUCCCAGCCUUCUGUGCAGUUCUGUGUGGCCAUGUGACUAAGUUGUGGUCAAUAUGAGUCACGGAAGAAUAGAAGAACAACUCAGAGGAGGAAGAAGUCAGACAUAGCCAGACACGGCUGCUAGCAGUUCCACCAAUGAAAGAGGAGACCAGGAUGUUUAAAACAGGCAAACACAAGGUGCGAAAAACCAGAAGCGAAAACUUCUGAGGUCAUUUAAGCAGGGACUAUCGUUAUCCCCGGAAGCAGAGAGAAGUUCAAUCCUUUGCCCAACAUCACACUGCAAGCAUGUGUUGGAGCUGAGAUUCAAACCCAGGCAUCCAGGGUCCAGGGCCCAUGCUCUUAAUAUAUUCCAUAUCUUAGGAGAAUUUCCCCUAUUUAAGCAAUAAAAGUGCAAAAAUCUUGUGGCUAGCCAAAA